GACGAACGCUGGCGGCGUGCUUAACACAUGCAAGUCGAACGGAAAGGCCCUGCUUUUGUGGGGUGCUCGAGUGGCGAACGGGUGAGUAACACGUGAGUAACCUGCCCUUGACUUUGGGAUAACUUCAGGAAACUGGGGCUAAUACCGGAUAGGAGCUCCUGCUGCAUGGUGGGGGGUGGAAAGUUUCGGCGGUUGGGGAUGGACUCGCGGCUUAUCAGCUUGUUGGUGGGGUAGUGGCUUACCAAGGCUUUGACGGGUAGCCGGCCUGGGAGGGUGACCGGCCACAUUGGGACUGAGAUACGGCCCAGACUCCUACGGGAGGCAGCAGUGGGGAAUAUUGCACAAUGGGCGGAAGCCUGAUGCAGCAACGCCGCGUGCGGGAUGACGGCCUUCGGGUUGUAAACCGCUUUCGCCUGUGACGAAGCGUGAGUGACGGUAAUGGGUAAAGAAGCACCGGCUAACUACGUGCCAGCAGCCGCCGUAAAAC
rnacentral:rRNA from 1 species